CGUUAGCGGCGCGCCUAACACAUGCAAGUCGCACGAGAAAGGGAGCAAUCCCCGGUACAGUGGCGCGCGGGUGAGUAACACGUAGAUGACCUUCCUGGAGUGUGGAUAACCUGCCGAAAGGCGGCUAAUACAGCAUGGGACCACAUGGUUUUGACCGAGUGGUGAAAGCGGGCCUCUGUUCACAAGCUCGCGCUCUGGGAUGGGUCUGCGUCCCAUCAGCUAGUUGGUGAGGUAAUGGCUCACCAAGGCAUCGACGGGUAGCUGGUCUGAGAGGAUGACCAGCCACACUGGAACUGAGACACGGUCCAGACUCCUACGGGAGGCAGCAGUGGGGAAUCUUGCGCAAUGGGCGAAAGCCUGACGCAGCGACGCCGCGUGGGUGAUGAAGGCCUUCGGGUUGUAAAGCCCUGUGGGGAGGAACGAACCGUACGGGGGCGAACACCCUCCGUACCUGACGGUACCUCCUUAGCAAGCGUCGGCUAACUCUGUG
rnacentral:rRNA from 1 species